AAGUUUUUGUUGCUAUCAUUCUC
rnacentral:snRNA from 1 species